rnacentral:tRNA from 1 species
AAGGGAGACCUAAUUCAGGUAGGAGACGAAAAAAAAGUAGUCGCUACCAAGAAUCAAUCCCAAAAGGUCGGAACGAGGUAUGUGGCUUUCAAACUAGGUUCUGGGUUCACAAAAGACCUGAAUCAGGAACAAGGGCUAUUAGCUCAGGUGGUUAGAGCGCACCCCUGAUAAGGGUGAGGUCCCUGGUUCGAGUCCAGGAUGGCCCACCUGCACAGGUGGCAAAAACAAGAGAAACGAGGAAUCAGCACCUUAUCUUACUUACAUAGUAAGAGAGAAUGCUGGCUCUGAGUAAAGAGUCCAGAGGAACCUUGAAAACUGCAUAGAGCUAGGUGAAAAAGCCAAAAAAGAAGACCGCAA